rnacentral:rRNA from 1 species
AGUGAACGCUGGCGGUAGGCCUAACACAUGCAAGUCGAACGGCAGCACAGUAAGAGCUUGCUCUUACGGGUGGCGAGUGGCGGACGGGUGAGGAAUACAUCGGAAUCUACUUUUUCGUGGGGGAUAACGUAGGGAAACUUACGCUAAUACCGCAUACGACCUACGGGUGAAAGCAGGGGAUCUUCGGACCUUGCGCGAAUGAAUGAGCCGAUGUCGGAUUAGCUAGUUGGCGGGGUAAAGGCCCACCAAGGCGACGAUCCGUAGCUGGUCUGAGAGGAUGAUCAGCCACACUGGAACUGAGACACGGUCCAGACUCCUACGGGAGGCAGCAGUGGGGAAUAUUGGACAAUGGGCGCAAGCCUGAUCCAGCCAUACCGCGUGGGUGAAGAAGGCCUUCGGGUUGUAAAGCCCUUUUGUUGGUAAAGAAAAGCAGCAGGUUAAUACCCCGCUGUUCUGACGGUACCCAAAGAAUAAGCACCGGCUAACUUCGUG